CAGCUCGACCAGACUGAGCAAAUUGGGUCUAUGAACAGAAAUCAAACGGAAGAAACAAAUGAGCAGCACCAGCCUUAUGCUGAGAAGCAUCACUUGGGGUGUUCUGACCACAAGCACAAGUGAAAAGAGGUUUUUCCAAGCCUGCAAGAGUGACAGAACUGCAAUCCACACGCAGAAAAUAAACAUUAGAGGUAAAAGUUCCUUCUCCUGCCAGCACCAGCUGACAUUUCCUCCGUGUGAAGAGAGGUGGUUGGAAAGCCAGGAAGCCACACAGCAGUGAGCUCGGGAAGAGACCCAUCCCAUUGCCUCUUAGGGAGCUUUGCAGGCAGGAUUGGGCAGGCACACCACACUCUGCCAUGCCACAGCUGCACUUUCAUCAGUAUGCAGGGAUACAGAUGGACUGAUUUGCAGCAGAGGACACACAGCUUUCCACAAUAAGCUGACGGCUACUAUGGGACACUGUGAUGCACAAAGCACUCACACUUCAAAGCUGCUCUGGCCUUUGAAUGUCACAGUGAGCUUCUACUGGAUGCUAAAGGAUUCCAAGAGCACCUAAAUGUGACUAAGGGGCAUAAUCUCCAAUGCACUGUUGGCCUGUUCAAACUUCACACCUUGAUUCUUUCUUUUUACAGACAAGAGAAACCAUAUUUAACAGUUUCAUCAAAACCUGCCACGAAUACAAGAUAACCACAAGUAACUUGGCAGAAGCAAAAUCUCAUAAAAAUAUAAAAAUGGGUUUCUGUGCUAAUAUUCGGAUGGAAUUAAUACUCAGAAAACAGUUUCCUAGAUAAGCAUUUUAUACUGUGUUCACUGUGACAGUGUGCUGUUAUUGGUUGGGACUAAUGACAUUUUAGUUAUGUUCUGUAUUCAGGACACCCUCACAGGACUGUUGCAAGGUGACAAAGGAGCUCCAGCACAACCACUCCUUUUUGAGACAAACAGCUUGGACUUAGCCAGUUACCCUACAGUUUCUAGACUGGUACUACAUACCAAAGUUGAGUGAGCUAUUUGAAUAGCUUUCAGUCUCAGAAAGUUUUAGGUUACUAAAUUUCAUAAGGCUUAACUCGCAUAAAUUUUUCAACGCUAUUUUUUCCCCCCAGACCAGAAGGACUUGUUUGAGGUCAGAUGAAUGCCAUUUGCUAAUUAUGCAUCCUCAAAGGUUUAUCUGCUCCCAUUCAAAUUCACAUUUCCUCUCCAGCAGCCAGUACAACUUGCUGUAAACAUCUCAAACAGCGUGUAGUUGCUGCAUUCAUUUUUAUCUGUGUUGGAAACCAUCAUAUCACAUGCAUGGCCAAGAAAGCCAGGCAAGCCUGUCACAACCUGAAAGUCUCUUUUGGAAGCAUUUUGGCACUGAAGUCACGCUGAAGGGAAGCCAGCAUGAAGUGCCAUCCAAACAAGGUAACAAAUGUAGAUAACAACACACAUUCUGUAGCAAAGGGGAGCUGCCAGGAAGCUUUCUGAAACACCGGAGUUGCAGAUCAGUCUCUCCUGACAAACCUCCUUGUCUCCUACAAAUAAGAGACUCACACAGAUGGUACAGAAAGAUCCGCAGAAGUCAUUAUUUUUUCCAAGUAAUUAUCAAGAGUGUAAUGUUCCUAUAACAUCUUCUGAAAUAACCCAGUAUCUUCUACUCCACUGGAAUUUGUUUUUUCUUCCCUCUCUUCCAAAGGUAAAGGAAGAAGAUGAAAGAACCGGGACUUACAGAUGGCAGCCUUCAUGCCUCACCAGGAAAAUCUCUCAUGCUUUAUUUCACUGACAUUCAGAUUUCUCUGCUGCAUGUCAUACACUCUAAUGACAUUUUCAAUAGAGAUGGAUGAAUGAUCUUUCACAUUCUGAACAAAAUGGCCACAAAUUCUCUAAGUUAUUCCCUGUCAAACUUUCUCUGAUCUUUAUAGAAUUAGGUGUCGGAAUUGCAUUGCCUGCUGUUCCCAUAUCUCUUACUAGUACCACCCUUUUUUUUUCCUCCACUUAGAUGGCUGCUUAAGACCAGAGACCUGAUUAUGACUAACUUCUAGAAGACCUAAUCAUCUCCUGCAUUGUGAAUCUUUAAAAUUAUGCUAAAUUAGGACAUCUGGUUUCAUCUUCCACAAGUUUUCCAUUCUUCCCCCCUUAUUAAUUCUUUCCUCUCUCAUUAAAUAUUUGUAUGCUACACUUGGGAGACAGAUUUGAUCUGGCUUCUCCUUUUGCAUUAGUAUUUUUACUCGUUACUGUAUCUGAAUUGUUUGAUAAACACAUCAGUGGCACAGAGGUAAUUGUAAAUCAAGUCACUUCUUUGAUCCUCACAUUUGCUGUAGCUUUUGUUAGUGCAGCACCUAAUUCUAAUUGAAACUGCUGAUAAACGUGAGCCUCUUAUGCCAACAGCUAUCCUCUUAUUAGCUCUUCUUUCAACAUCCCAUAUUUGCAAUGCUCAGCAAAGUUGAACUGCAGCAAUAAACCCUCAGCUGUUUCCCCUUGUUCCUAAGAUCUCCUAUGAAAUUCACUCCAGAUUUCUUGUACAUUCAUCUAUAUGUGUAACUGUAUACAUAAAGAUCUGCAUAUAAAAUACUU